rnacentral:rRNA from 1 species
UACGUAGGGCGCAAGCGUUGUCCGGAAUUAUUGGGCGUAAAGAGCUCGUAGGCGGCCAGUUGCGUCCGCUGUGAAAUCCCGGGGCUUAACCCCGGGCGUGCAGUGGAUACGGGCUGGCUAGAGGCAGGCAGGGGAGAACGGAAUUCCCGGUGUAGCGGUGAAAUGCGCAGAUAUCGGGAGGAACACCGGUGGCGAAGGCGGUUCUCUGGGCCUGUACUGACGCUGAGGAGCGAAAGUGUGGGGAGCGAACAGG